GUGGGGAAUCUUCCGCAAUGGACGAAAGUCUGACGGAGCAACGCCGCGUGAGUGAAGAAGGUUUUCGGAUCGUAAAGCUCUUUCGUUAGGGACGAACGUGCUCUUUGUGAAUAAUGAGGAGUAAUGACGGUACCUAAAUAAGAAGCCACGGCUAACUACGUGCCAGCAGCCGCGGUAAUACGUAGGUGGCAAGCGUUGUCCGGAAUUAUUGGGCGUAAAGCGCGCGCAGGCGGGAUAUCAAGUCUGUCUUAAAAGUGCGAGGAUCAACCUCGUGAGGGGACAGAAACUGGUAUUCUUGAGUGUCGGAGAGGAAAGUGGAAUUCCAAGUGUAGCGGUGAAAUGCGUAGAGAUUUGGAAGAACACCAGUGGCGAAGGCGACUUUCUGGACGAUGUCUGACGCUGAGGCGCGAAAGCUAGGGGAGCGAACGGGAUUAGAUACCCCGGUAGUCCC
rnacentral:rRNA from 1 species